rnacentral:rRNA from 1 species
AGUGUAGGCGGUUUAGCAAGUCGGAUGUGAAAUCCCAGGGCCCAACCCUGGAACUGCAUCCGAUACUGUUAGGCUAGAGUCCCGGAGAGGAUGGCGGAAUUCCCGGUGUAGGGGUGAAAUCCGUAGAUAUCGGGAGGAACACCAGUGGCGAAGGCGGCCAUCUGGACGGUGACUGACGCUGAGACUCGAAAGCGUGGGUAGCAAACAGGAUUAGAUACCCUGGUAGUCC